UACGGGGGGGGCAAGCGUUGUUCGGAAUUACUGGGCGUAAAGGGCUCGUAGGCGGCCUACUAAGUCGGAUGUGAAAUCCCCAGGCUCAACCUGGGAACUGCAUCCGAUACUGGAUGGCUUGAAUCCGGGAGAGGGAUGCAGAAUUCCAGGUGUAGCGGUGAAAUGCGUAGAUAUCUGGAGGAAUACCGGUGGCGAAGGCGGCAUCCUGGACCGGCAUUGACGCUGAGGAGCGAAAGCUAGGGGAGCAAACGGG
rnacentral:rRNA from 1 species